rnacentral:snRNA from 1 species
GCGAUUUAAGUUUUUAUACUCAAU